CGUUCCCGGGCCUUGUACACACCGCCCGUCACACCACGAAAGUCUGCAACACCCGAAGCCGGUGGGGUAACCCGCAAGGGAGCUAGCCGUCGAAGGUGGGGCCGAUAAUUGGGGUG
rnacentral:rRNA from 1 species